UAGCUUAGUUGGUAGAGCAUGGUGUUUGCAACGCCAGGGUUGUGGGUUCAAUUCCCAC
rnacentral:tRNA from 1 species